UACAGAGGAGCCAAGCGUUGUCCGGAUUGACUGGGCGUAAAGCGCACGCAGGCGGUCGCGCGCGUGGGGUGUGAAAUCUGGCCGCUUAACGGCCAGGCGCCAUCCCAUACGGCGCGACUGGAGUGAUGCAGAGGUCGGUGGAAUUGCCGGUGUAGUGGUGAAAUGCGCAGAUAUCAGGAGGAACACCAAUUGCGAAGGCAGCUCGCUGGGACGUUACUGACGCUGAGACGCGAAAGCGUGGGGAGCAAACAGG
rnacentral:rRNA from 1 species